rnacentral:rRNA from 1 species
UUGACCUCAAAUCGGGUGAGACUACCCGCUGAACUUAAGCAUAUCAAUAAGCGGAGGAAAAGAAACUAACGAGGAUUCCCCUAGUAACUGCGAGUGAAGCGGGAAAAGCUCAAAUUUAAAAUCUGGCGGUCUUUGGCCGUCCGAGUUGUAAUUUAGAGAAGCGUCUUCCGCG